AAAGGAACCACCGAGUAAGCGGAGCAACGGCUGACUCGACGACCUGCUCUCCUCUGCAACCACUGUGAAUUAAAGGUGGAUACGCCGUUUUUGAGCUCGUAGGCUAGCAGCUUCCUUCUUUCGAAGAAAUCCCAAAAAACUGUUUCUACCAUUGGUGCUGACUCGACGACCUGCUCUCUUCUGCAACCACUGUGAAUUAAAGGUGGAUACGCCGUUUUUGAGCUCGUAGGCUAGCAGCUUCCUUCUUUCGAAGAAAUCCCAAAAAACUGUUUCUACCAUUGGUGCUGACUCGACGACCUGCUCUCUUCUGCAACCACUGUGAAUUAAAGGUGGAUACGCCGUUUUUGAGCUCGUAGGCUAGCAGCUUCCUUCUUUCGAAGAAAUCCCAAAAAACUGUUUCUACCAUUGGUGCUGUACCUCUCUCAGUUCAGCUAAGCUCUCUGAUUACUAAUCUUAAC
rnacentral:lncRNA from 1 species